UACGAAGGGGGCUAGCGAUGCUCGGAAUCACUGGGCGUAAAGCGCACGCAGGCGGAUCGAUAAGUCGGGGGUGAAAGCCCGGGGCUCAACCUCGGAAUUGCCUUCGAUACUGGCGGUCUCGAGUCCGGGAGAGGUGAGUGGAAUUCCUAGUGUAGAGGUGAAAUUCGUAGAUAUUAGGAAGAACACCAGUGGCGAAGGCGGCUCACUGGCCCGGUACUGACGCUCAGGUGCGAAAGCGUGGGGAGCAAACAGG
rnacentral:rRNA from 1 species